GCUGGGAUGGCGGAAUUGGUAUACGCGACGGACUUAAAAUCCGUUGGUUGCAACACCUUGUGGGUUCGAGUCCCACUCCCAGCACCA
rnacentral:tRNA from 1 species